rnacentral:rRNA from 1 species
AAAGCCGCGAGGUAGAGCAAAUCUCAAAAAAACAAUCUCAGUUCAGACUGCAGGCUGCAACUCGCCUGCACGAAGUCGGAAUUGCUAGUAAUCGUAGGUCAGCAUACUACGGUGAAUACGUUCCCGGGCCUUGUACACACCGCCCGUCAAACCAUGAGAGUUGGAGAUACCCGAAGCCUGUGAGCUAACUCAACGAGGCAGCAGUCGAAGGUAGAAUCAAUGAUUGGGGUGAAGUCGUAACAAGGUAGC